rnacentral:rRNA from 1 species
UACGUAGGGUGCAAGCGUUGUCCGGAAUUAUUGGGCGUAAAGAGCUCGUAGGCGGUUUGUCGCGUCUGCUGUGAAAUCUGGGGGCUCAACCCCCAGCCUGCAGUGGGUACGGGCAGACUAGAGUGCGGUAGGGGAGAUUGGAAUUCCUGGUGUAGCGGUGGAAUGCGCAGAUAUCAGGAGGAACACCUAUAGCGAAGGCAGCUUGCUGGGACGUUACUGACGCUAAGGCGCGAAAGCGUGGGGAGCGAACAGG